GCUGUUCGGUGAUGAGGCUCAGAGUGCACGCUGGGCACAGCGCCCGAAUCAGACACUGUGGAACCAUUCUCUACUGCCUUCCUUCUGAGAACAGC
rfam:Callithrix jacchus chromosome 1, whole genome shotgun sequence